UUACGGCCAUAUCAUGUUGAAGUAUCGGUUCUCGUACGAUCACCGAAGUUAAGGAACGUCGAACCUGGUCAUUACCUAGAUGAGUAACCACUUGAGAAUACCAGGUGCUGUAUG